UUUUUUUUCCCUCCCCUAUAGCUCCUCCAGCUUUUCCUCCGGCAUCCAGGAUCUCAAAAUCUGACCGGGAGCUGUCGGAAUUUUUGGGAUUUGGGAUUUUUCCCCCCCAAAAAAAUUCCCAAAAUAAUCCGGGAUCAACUCGGAAUUCCGGGACGAGAUGCAGGAGAGCUACGAGAGCGUCAUUUCCUUGGCCGAGGAGAUCGCCAUCAGCUGGCCGCGGAUCACCGCCUUCGCCGAAUCGCACCGGAGACGCGGCCUGGGCGCCGACGCCGUCCCGGCCUCACCGAGCGACAACGCCGAGCACGAGCCGCCUCCAAACCCCCUGGAAAAACCCCAAACCCCCGGCACGCCGCCGCCUCCCCCCCCCAAACCCCCCCCCCGCCCCC